rnacentral:rRNA from 1 species
CCUGAUAACCCCAAAAGAUCGAAUGGGGAGAUUCAUCGUCAGCGAUUUUGGUGCGUGUGCGGCUCGCGAUGCAGGUGACUUCGGUCUCAUUGUACGCGUCCGCAUGUUUUUUAUUGCCAUUAUCGUCGGCGUGCACUUCUCCCCUAGUAGGACGUCGCGACCCGUUGGGUGUCGGUCUACGGCCCCGGUGUGUAGCCUGUCACGUGUGCGCUUCACGGCGUUACGCGGUACAGACACCCGGUUGCCCGACCGGCUGCCCGGCGGNACUCGCACGGNAUCUGGCCNCAAANAUUCNAACUGCGUCCGGCCCGUCGCAAGCAAGGCAAGNGUUCUCCCGGCUGUACGGAUCUAAUGCCGUCAACCUGCCUUGCCAGCUGUUGUCUGACGGUGUCCUAGGACAGGCUAACCAAUAAAUUAUNAUACCGGUCGGCGACNCUACUGCUUUGGGUACUUUCAGGACNUGUCUUGAAACACGGANCAAGGAUNUUAUAACAUGUGCUCUANUCAUUGGGAACAUAUUAAUCUUAAAUGUAUAAUAGNAUUUAAGUNUAAANCUNAUACGACNNANGAANGNUGGGCNGCGUCACGAUGNGGUCCCGCACUCCCGGGGCGUCUCGUUCUCAUUGCGAGAAGAGGCGCACCCAGAGCUGUACACGUUG